CAGCAGCCGCGGGAAUACAGAGGUCCCAAGCGUUGUUCGGAAUCACUGGGCGUAAAGGGUGCGUAGGCGGCGCGGAAAGUCAGGGGUGAAAUCCCGGAGCUCAACUCCGGAACUGCCUUUGAUACUCCCGCGCUUGAGAACUGGAGGGGAGACCGGAAUUCACGGUGGAGCAGUGAAAUGCGUGGAUAUCGUGAGGAACACUAGUGGCGAAGGCGGGUCUCUGGACAGUAUCUGACGCUGAGGCACGAAGGCCAGGGGAGCGAACGGGAUUAGAUACCCCGGUAGUCCCUGUCUCUUAACA
rnacentral:rRNA from 1 species